rnacentral:rRNA from 1 species
GACGAACGCUGGCGGCGUGCUUAACACAUGCAAGUCGAACGGAAAGGCCCUGCUUUUGUGGGGUGCUCGAGUGGCGAACGGGUGAGUAACACGUGAGUAACCUGCCCUUGACUUUGGGAUAACUUCAGGAAACUGGGGCUAAUACCGGAUAGGAGCUCCUGCUGCAUGGUGGGGGUUGGAAAGUUUCGGCGGUUGGGGAUGGACUCGCGGCUUAUCAGCUUGUUGGUGGGGUAGUGGCUUACCAAGGCUUUGACGGGUAGCCGGCCUGAGAGGGUGACCGGCCACAUUGGGACUGAGAUACGGCCCAGACUCCUACGGGAGGCAGCAGUGGGGAAUAUUGCACAAUGGGCGGAAGCCUGAUGCAGCGACGCCGCGUGCGGGAUGACGGCCUUCGGGUUGUAAACCGCUUUCGCCUGUGACGAAGCGUGAGUGGCGGUAAUGGGUAAAGAAGCACCGGCUAACUACGUG